AUUGAACGCUGGCGGCAGGCCUAACACAUGCAAGUCGAGCGGAGCGGCGGACGGGUGAGAAUGCCUAGGAAUCUGACUGGUCGUGGGGGAUAACGUCCGGAAACGGGGGCUAAUACCGCAUAUUAUCAGAUGAGCCCAGGUCGGAGUAGCUAGUAGGUGGGGUAAAGGCCUACCAAGGCCACGAUCCGGAACUGGUCUGAGAGGAUGAUCAGUCACACUGGAACUGAGACACGGUCCAUACUCCUACGGGAGGCAGCAGUGGGGAAUUUUGGACAAUGGGCGAAAGCCUGAUCCAGCCAUGCCGCGUGUGUGAAGAAGGUCUUCGGAUUGUAAAGCACUUUAAGUUGGGAGGCGUUACCAACAGAAUAAGCACCGGCUAACUACGUGCCAGCAGCCGCGGUAAUUC
rnacentral:rRNA from 1 species